UACGGGGGGGGCAAGCGUUGUUCGGAAUUACUGGGCGUAAAGGGCUCGUAGGCGGCCAACUAAGUCAGACGUGAAAUCCCUCGGCUUAACCGGGGAACUGCGUCUGAUACUGGAUGGCUUGAGGUUGGGAGAGGGAUGCGGAAUUCCAGGUGUAGCGGUGAAAUGCGUAGAUAUCUGGAGGAACACCGGUGGCGAAGGCGGCAUCCUGGACCAAUUCUGACGCUGAGGAGCGAAAGCCAGGGGAGCAAACGGG
rnacentral:rRNA from 2 species